rnacentral:lncRNA from 1 species
GUCUCCCACUUGCAAAUACUUAAGUUGAACUACUGUAGAGAUUUGAAGGAGUUGUCCCCUAAUUUGCAUUUACUCACCAAUUUGGGCCGUCUUGAACUUAUACAGACUUAAGUGAAGGUGUCACUGCAUUUGGGAAAACCGAAGAUUCUAAAAGUAAUAAUGAAUUCUUUUAAUGUUGACUUUAGCAGGGACUUGGGUGUUCAACAGCUACGAGAGCUCAACCUUGAUGGAAGUCUAUCAAUUCAGGAGCUGCAGAAUGUUGAGAAUUACCUGGAUGCAUUAGAAGCAUAUUUGAAAAAUAAAACACUCCUUCUGAAGCUAAAUUUGCGAUGGAGAAGGAAUGGGAACUCUAUUGAUUCAAAAAAAAGAAGAGAACCUAAUUGAGAAUCUGCAACCUUCCAACAACUCAAGCGAGUUGGCAAUCUUUGACUAUGGUGGCAAUCAAUUUCCGAAAUGGUUACUAGAGAAUUCAUUAUGGAAUAUGGUGUCCUUAGUGUUAGAGGAAUGUGGAUCUUGCCAACGUUCACCUCCCCUUGGAUUUUUGUCAUUUCUCAAGGUUUUGAACAUUACAAAACUUGAUGGGAUAAUGAAUAUUGAUGCUGAUUUUCAUGGAAACAACUCUUCUUCAUUUAAAUCCCUUGAAGCAUUGUAUUUAUCCAAUAUGAUUCAAUGAGGUAAUCUAGAAAUGAUUUCACAGUGUCUCAUCCAUAAUAAUCUAAGAUUUCCGGAGAUCAUUAGGUGCUAUAAAUUAGAAUCAUUACCUGGAAUCAUGAAUAUGCUGCUUUCAUAUAUGAGAACGUUAAGGAUAAAAAACUCAUGCUGAUUGGUAUAGCUUGUGAAUCACAGAGCUGAGGGAAGACUCAACACUUAUUGGUUGUUCACAGACCUUAACUCAAACCCAUCAUUCAAAAAUUAGUUUAUUACUAUUAUUUCCAUUGCACUUCCUUCUCAGUUUUAUUCAUCAACUCCCUUUCCUAUUCUAACCAUGGCAGUACUCUAAAUUGUUACCGGUGCUCUUGUUUCUACUUCUGUUGGAGAGGACUAUUGACACUUUGGCUUCCCGUUUUGUCAACAUUUCGUGGAAGAAAACACAAAAAGAAGCAAUUCAGCGACUUGAAGAUGAAUCUCCUAGCCAUUGAUGUUGUGGCUUUUGAUGAAGAACAAAAGCACUUGACAGAUCCACGUGUGAGAGAUUGGCUUCUCAAGGCCAAAGAUGUUGUGUUUGAUGCAGAACAUCUCUUGGAGGAAAUAGAUUAUGAAGCCAAGUGGAGCUGAUAAAAAAAUGAAUCCAAGUGGAAGCUGAGUCUAAGAGUGCUACUAAGAAGGUGUGGAAUUCCCUCAAAUCUUCUUUUUUCAGAUUAUUUGAAAACGAAAUUGAAUCAAAGAUGGAACAAGUCAUGGAGGACCUAGAAGCUCCAUACUUUUCAUUUUAAACCCAGUAAGCAUCAUUGCAUUUAAAUUCUAUUCGACACUUGGAGAUUCAUUGAUACAAUUUGAGGGAUUGUCCAAUCAGUUAUGUUAUGUAUUUGUUACUUCUGCAACAUUGUUUAAGGCCAACACCUCUGCUUUUCUGUCCUGCCUUCAGGAAACAUAGCGGAGAUUUUUUUUCUGUAGUUAACAAUUUUGAAUGUAGAAUAUGAUUGAGUGGCACAACUAUUUUGAUCUUAGUUUUCCUUUUAUAUCUUGAAACACUUACCUUUCCGGUUAAUGUAGUUAACAAAUUUGUUUAUGAUGAUUUAAAAAUAAGAGAGCUCCAACCGAGAAUGUAAUACUAGCCAUUUGCAAGUGUUAUCAGUAAACAUAAAAUAGAAUACCAACGUUGGUUUCAUCGUAAUGCUAACUCUGCACAUGCUCUGCCCAGUCAAAAUUGAUGUGAAAGAGAAGAAUCUUUCAGUAAUUUAACUAUUUGUUGACUUAGUUAAGUUGAUUCAUGCACUCUGUCAUCUUAAAUAUGUAAACCAUACCAGAAUAUAUAAAAUUCCAACAAACAAAAUACAUGUAGUGUUACAUUAUUCUAGAAAGAUUAAAUGAUGGAUUGUUACUGUAAAUAUUAUUUUAAUUCAUGAAAAGAAUUCCCACUGCAGAGCUACAAAAAUCACAUUAAAAUAAUAGACUUUAACAUGCUUUUUAAUAUAUCUCUUAAUUUAAACAAUUCCCUUACUUAGUUAAUAGUUUAAUAAUUCCCACUCAUUCAUAAGUGCAAUACAGCUGUUGUAGUUUGUGAUGUUGGGAAGAAUAAAAAAUUAUAGGUUCACUAACUUUUGAAGAACAAAAAUGUUGAUCAAAUAUCUUUUUAUGAACCACUGAGUCAUUGGCAAAAGCUAGCAGCAGUUGAAUCCACUCAUCUUUCUCCUACCAUGGCCUUAGAACUUGUUGGUGGUGCUCUUCUCUCUGCUUUCCUUCAGGUUGCAUUCGACAAGUUAGCUUCUCCUCAAAUUCUCGAUUUCUUUCAUGCAAGAGAGCUUGAUCAAAAGCUGCUCAACAAGUUGGAAACCAAGAUGCACUCCAUCCAUUCUCUGGCUGAUGAUGCAGAGCGAAAGCAGUUCACGGAUCCACAUGUCAGAAACUGGCUGCUUAAGGUCAAAGAUGCUGUCCUUAAUGCCGAGGAUCUCUUGGAUGAUAUACAAAAGAUCUCCAAAAGACAAGAUGCUGAAUCUGAAUCUCAAACCUCAGGCUGUACUUGCAAGGUACUCAAUUUCUUCAAAUCUUCUCCUAUUACUAUUAGUUCCCUUAACAAGGAAAUUGAGUGUAGGAUGGAACAAAUCCUUGAUGAUUUAGAAUUUCUCUCAACCCAAAGGGGUGAUCUAGGAUUGAAAAUCGCUGGCGGUGUUGGAUCUGGGUUGAGUAAUGAUCUGUCACAAAAAUCACAAACAACAUCGUUGGUUGUUGGAACUGAUAUCUAUGGCAGAGAUGAUGAUAAAAGACUGAUCAUUGAUUGGCUGACUUCUGACAUCAAUUGUGGUAACCAACCAUCAAUAAUUUCUAUUGUGGGAAUGGGUGGAGUGGGUAAGACCACUCUCGCUCAACAUGUAUUCAAUGACCUGAGGGUGGAUGAGGCUAAAUUUGAUGUUAAAGUUUGGGUUUGUGUUUCAGAUGAAUUUGAUGUUUUCAAGAUAUCUAGAGCAAUUCUUGAGGCAGUUACUAAAUCAACCGAUGAUAGUAGAGAUCUGGAGAUGGUCCAUAGAAGAAUGAAAGAAGAAUUGACGGGAAAGAAAUUUCUUCUUGUUUUGGAUGACGUUUGGAACGAAAACCAACCUAAAUGGGAGGAAGUGCAGAAGCCCCUUGUUUUAGGAGUCCAAGGGAGUAAGAUUCUUGUGACCACACGUAGUAAGGAAGUUGCUUCUACCAUGCGUUCAGAAGAAUACUCCCUACAACAAUUACAAGAAGAUGAUUGUUGGAAGUUGUUUGCUAAACAUGCAUUUCGAGGUGAUUGUACUCAACUAAACCCAGAGUGCAAGAAGAUUGGAAUGAAGAUUGUUAAGAAAUGUAAAGGAUUACCUCUCGCCUUGAAAACAAUGGGAAGUAUGUUAUACAACAAAUCAUCUGUUUCAGAGUGGAAAACUGUGCUCCAAAGCGAAAUAUGGGAAUUUUCAAAAGAGCGUUGUGAUAUUAUUCCCGCUUUAGCAUUGAGCUAUAUCCACCUUCCUUCUCAUCUCAAGGUAUGCUUUGCUUACUGUGCCUUAUUCCCCAAGGAUUAUGAGUUAGAAAAGAAGGAGUUGAUUCAGUUGUGGAUGACUGAAAAUUUUGCACAUUGUCAUCAACAUAGUAGGACUCCAGAAGAAGUUUGCCAACAAUACUUCAAUGAUCUACUAUCAAGGUCCUUCUUCCAACAACCAAAUGAAAAUAAAGAAGUAUUUAUCAUGCAUGACCUUCUACAUGAUUUGGCAAAAUAUGUCGGUGGAGGCCUAUACUUUAGGUGUGAACUUGAUCAAACAGAAAAGAUACAGGAAGUAGCUCGUCAUAUUUCAUUUGAAUUUCAACACAAACAAUAUUUUGAUGGGUUUGGAACUUUAUGUAAUACAAAAAGGUUACGUACAUUUAUGCCAAAUGCUAGUAGCCUAAAUUAUUUGUGGAGUUGGGAUAUCAAAAUGUCGAUAGAUGAAUUGUUCUCGAAGUUUAAGUUCAUACGUAUCUUAUCUCUAUCUCAUUGCUCUGACCUUCAAGAGUUACCUGAUUCUUUUGGUAAUCUUGAGUAUCUCCGUUCCUUAGACCUUUCCCAUACUAUGAUAAAAAGAUUGACUGAAAAGAUAUGUUCACUCUCCCACUUGCAAAUACUGAAUUUGAACUACUGUAUACAUUUGGAAGAGUUGCCCUCAAAUUUGCAUUUAUUAAGCAAUUUGUGUCGCCUUGAAUUAAAAGAGACGAAAGUGAGAAAGGUGCCACCGCAUUUGGGAAAACUGAAGAAUCUUAAAGUAGUAAUGAAUUCCUUUAAUGUUGGCCUUAGCAAAGAGUUGGGUAUUCAACAGCUAAGAGAGAUCAACCUUGAUGGAAGCAUAUCAAUUGGGGAGCUGCAGAACAUUGAGGAUUCCACGGAAGCAUUAGAAGCAGAUUUGAAGAAUAAAACACACCUUGUGGAGCUGAGCUUGGGAUGGGGGAGGAAUGGGAACUCUAUUGAUUCAAAAAAAGAAGAGGACACAAUUGAGAAUCUGCAACCUUCCAAAAACUUAAGGAAGUUGUCAAUUUUUAAGUAUGGCGGGAAACAAUUUCCAAAUUGGUUACUGGAUAAGUCAUUUUUGAAUUUGGUGUUCUUAGAGUUAGAUAAAUGUGAAUCUUGCCAACGUUUACCUCCGCUUGGUCUUUUGCCUUAUCUGAAGAGGCUGAAGAUUUCAGGGUUUGAUAAAAUAGUGAGUGUUGAUGGUGAUUUUCAUGGGAACAACUCUUGUUCAUUUAAAUCCCUAGAAAUAUUGGACUUCUCCCAUAUGAGUCAAUGGGAAAAGUGGGACUGCCAAGUUGUGAUAGGUGCCUUUCCACGUCUAAUAAGGCUUUUCAUAUCAAAUUGUCCCAAGCUGAAAGGACAACUACCAAAGCAACUUGUUCCUUUGGAAAUACUAGACAUUAUAUUCUGCCAACAACUUGAUGCAUCCGCUCCGAGGGCUCUAGAUUUGGAACUUCGUGACUGUGGAAAGUUGCAGUUGGAGUGGGCUACAAUGAAAAGGCUUACAAUGGGUGGGCACAACAUGGAAGCUUCAUGGUUGGAAAUUGUUGGGUCCGACAGUCUUGAAUACUUACAAAUUUUUGCACCCCCAGAGUCAAUCACUGAUGACUGUGUUUCUCUAUGGACCUUUCCACUGGAUUUCUUCCCAAAACUCUCGACCCUUAAUCUUAUAGGGCUUGUUAAUUUUCAAAUGAUUUCACAGUGUCUCAUCCAUAAUCAUCUAGAGUGUCUGGAAAUCAUUAGGUGCCAUAAAUUUGAAUCAUUUCCUGGAAACAUGCAUAUGCACCUUCCAUCUCUCAGGAAGUUAUUCAUACAAGACUGUCCAAGACUUGAGUUGUUCUUUGACAGAGGUUUCCCAUCAAAUCUAGAAGAGCUGACAAUCAUUAGCUGCCAUAAAUUUAAAUCAUUGCCUGAAAACAUGCAUAUGCUACUUCCAUCUCUCAGAAAGUUAUACAUAGCAGACUGUCCAAAACUUGAGUCAUUCCCAUAUGGAGGUUUCCCAUCAAAUCUAGAAAAUCUGGUAAUAGUUGGCAUUCCUAGGCUUGAGUCAUUCCCUGACGUAGGUCUACCAUCAAAUUUGAAGUAUCUGUGUAUAGACCGAUGUCCUUUGUUGAAGCAGUGUUGCCAAAAAGAAGGAGGCAAAGACUGGGAAAAGAUUGCUCACAUUCAAACACUAUAUAUAUUGUAGUCAUGUCGUUUGUUCUGAAUGGUGAUCCAUUUGGUGGGUUCCUAAUUUUGUUUUUGUUCAGAAUAUUUUAGUAGUUCUGCCAUAGCUUUUAACAAUUCAUUCCUUUUCCUUUUAAGAUUACAAUUACUACAAUUACUAGUGGAAGUUUCGCCUUCAAUUUUUUACUGCAACUAAGUUUUCUUUCAGAUAACAUAAAGAUGUUGAAAUUGAAAUUUGUGAUCCACUCUACCUAUCUCCUUAUUUAAGUAAUCUUCUGGGAUAUAACUUUUCUAUUCAAUGUUGUAUAAAUAUAAAAUAAUAAUAAAAUUGAAACAUAAGAAUGUUGGAUAAGCGUUUAAGAGUGUCAAACAAGGUCUCCUAAAGGAUUCGAAUCAUUGACCAUAAAAUUUAAAGUAGAGUAAGAUCCCAAACAGUUAUAAGAAGUAUAUAAAGAAAGGAGGUACAGAAAAUUAACAUAGUAGAAUUUAUCUACUAUAGAACAUUCUUCUGGCAUAGAGUAAUUGAACUUUAAAUUUGUGUUGAACAAGGUACACAUUAACCAAAAAUCAUAGGUACUUCAUUUUAUCUUUUUCUCUCAACCCUUGCAUAAUUGCCUCGAAAACAGAGAAAGAGGGUACUGAGAAUUCAUUUUACAGUAACUUAGAACAACAAUAUAUUCCAUUAAUAUGUUUCCCUCAACCAUACUUUACACUAAUCUUUCUAAUUCAAUUCAUUAUCCUUCCAUGCUCAAGGAAGAAUUGUACACGUGGACGACAUUGUUAUCACAUGUAGUGAUAAGGAGUGGAUUGUACAAAUAAAACAAUACCUUGAUCAAAAGUUCUAAAUAAAAUAUCUUGGACACUUGAAGUGUUUCCUUGGUAUAUAAGUGGCACAAUUCAAUGUUGGUUUGAUCAUAUUUCAAAGAAAAUAUUCUCUUAACAUUCAAGAAGACACAUGGAUGAUGGAUGAUAAAUGAAACAUGCUAAGCCUGUAGCAUACCAAUGGAUUCAAACUUGUAUCUAACCAAGGAAAAAUUUAUUUUAAUCUCACAAGAUAUAGAAGGUAGUUGGUAAGCAUGGUAAGUCAAUGUUUUAUCAAGACCAUUAGGUGCACUCGUACGGAUCUAAAGUGGAGUUAAAUGUCUAUUUUCAUUUCAAAUUUUGAAUUUGUUUAUGAUGAUUUAAUUGAUUUUGUUUCUCAUAACAAGAAAGAAUAGAGAUUUUAAAAAUAAGAAACAGCUCAAACCGAGAAUGUAAUACUAGGCUACUAGCCAUUUGAAAGUGCUAUCAGUAAACAUAAAAUAGAAUAUCAACGUUGGUUUCAUCGUAAUGCUAACCCUGCCAUAUUGUCUGGCCAGUCAAAAUUGACGUGAAAGAGAAGAAUCUUUUAGUUAUUUAACUAUUUGCUGACUUAGUUAAGUUGUUUCAUGCACUCUGUCAUCUUAAAUAUGUAAACUAUAGCAGAAUAUAUAAAAUUCCAACAAAGAAAAUACAUGUAGUGUUACAUUAUUCUACAAAGAUUAAAUGUUGAGGACGUUCUGCAACCUUCCAAGAAAUUAAAGGAGUUGGCAAUCUUUGACUGUGUUGACAAACAAUUUCCAAAUUGGUUACUAGAAAAUUCAUUAUCGAAUUUGGUGUCCUUAAAGUUGAAUGAAUGUGAAUCUAGCCAACAUUUACCUUCGUUUGAUCUCAUAUUACCUUCUCCUUUUAACAUUACAAUCAUUAGCGGAAAGUUUUGCCAAAGUUUUGAUAUAAUCAGCCAGGUUAAACUACAUUUGAUUCCAGCACUCAAUCAUUACUUUUUCUCAGUUGCAUAGUGCAAAUGUUGUGCUUUACUCAAGUGACUCACUAUUGUAAUAUGAAUAACAUUACAAUUUCUAUUGUUGCCAGAAACAAUGCAUCAAAUCUCGUGCUUUACUCAAGUGGAAGACUGUUGUCACAUGAAAAAAUUCCCACUGCAGAGCUAAACAAUCACAUUAAAACUUAAUAUAUCAACUAAUAAAGUAAUAAAUGUUAACACGCUUUUUAAUACAUCUCUUAAUUUAAACAAUUCCCUUACUUAGUUAAUACUUUAACAAUACCCACUCAUUCAUAAGUGAAAUACAGCUGUUGCAGUUUGUAAUGUUGGGAAGAAUAAAAAAUUAUAGAUUUACUAACUAUUGAAGAACAAAAAUGUUGAUCAAAUAUCUUUUUAUGAACAAUUGAGUCAUUGGCAAAAGCUAGCAGCAGUUGAAUCCAUUCAUCUUUCUCCUACCAUGGCAUUCAAACUUGUUGGUGGUGCUCUUCUCUCGGCUUUCCUUCAGGUUGCAUUCCAGAAGCUAGCUUCUCCUCAAAUUCUCGAUUUUUUUCAUGCAAGAGAGCUUGAUCAAAAGCUGCUCAACCAGUUGGAAACCAAGAUGCAUUCCAUCCAUUCUCUGGCUGAUGAUACAGAGCGAAAGCAGUUCGCGGAUCCACAUGUCAGAAACUGGCUGCUUAAGGUCAAAGAUAUUGUCCUUGAUGCAGAGGAUCUCUUAGAUGAUAUACAAAAGCUCUCCAAAAGACAACUAGAUGCUGAAUCUGAAUCUCAAACCUCAGACUCUACUUGCAAGGUACUCAAUUUCUUCAAAUCUUCUCCUAUUACUAUUAGUUCCCUUAACAAGGAAAUUCAGUGUAAGAUGGAACAAAUCCUUGACGAUUUAGAAUUUCUCUCAAGCCAAAGGGGUGAUCUAGGAUUGAAAACUGCUGGCGGUGUUGAAUCUGGGUUGAGUAAUGAACUGCCACAUAAAUCACAAACAUCUUUGGUUGUUGGAAGUGAUAUCUAUGGCAGAGAUGAUGAUAAAAGACUGAUCAUUGACUGACUGACUUCUGACAUCAACACUGGUAACCAACCAUCAAUACUUUGUAUUGUGGGAAUGGGUGGAGUGGGUAAGACCACUCUCACUCAACAUGUAUUCAAUGACCCGAGGGUGGAUGAGGCUAAAUUUGAUGUCAAAGUUUGGGUUUGUGUUUCACAUGAAUUUGAUGUUUUCAAGAUAUCAAGAGCAAUUCUUGAGGCAAUUACUAAAUCAACUGAUGACAGUAGAGAUACAGAGAUGGUUCACACAAGUUUGAAGGAAGAAUUGACAGGGAAAAAGUUUCUUCUUAUUUUGGAUGAUGUUGGGAACGAAAACCAAUUUAAAUGGGAAGAAGUGCAAAAGCCCCUUCUUUUCGGAGCCCAAGGAAGUAGAAUUCUUAUGACUACGCGUAGCAAGGAAGUUUGUUCUACCAUGCGAUCAGAUGAACACUCCCUACAACAAUUACAAGAAGAUGAUUGUUGGAAGUUGUUUUCUAAACAUGCCUUCCGAGAUGAUGAUACUCAAUCAGAUCCAGAGUGCAGGAAGAUUGGCAUGGAGAUUGUUAGAAAAUGUAAAGGACUACCUCUGGCCUUGAAAACAAUGGGAAGUCUGUUAUACAACAAAUCAUCUAUUUCAGAUUGGAAAACCGUGUUCCAAAGCGAAAUAUGGGAAUUUUUGAAUGAGUGUUGCAACAUUAUUCCUUCUUUAGCAUUGAGUUAUAUCCACCUUCCAUCUCAACUCAAGGUAUGCUUUGCUUACUGUGCCCUGUUCCCUAAGGAUUAUGAGUUUAAAAAGGAGUGUUUAAUUCAUUUGUGGAUGACUGAAAACCUCCCACACUGUCGUCAACAUAGUAAGACUCCAGAAGAAGUUUGCCAACAAUACUUCAAUGAUCUAGUAUCAAGAUCUUUCUUACAAAAAUUAGAUGAAAAUAAAGAAGUAUUUGUUAUGCAUGACCUUCUACAUGAUUUGGCAAAAUAUGUUUGUGGAGGCCUAUACUUCAGGUGCGAACUUGAUCAAACAGAAAAGAUACCAAAAGUAACUCGUCAUUUUUCAGUUGAACUUGGUCACAAUCAACAUUUUGAUGAGUUUGGAACUUUAUGUAAUUCAAAAAGGUUACGUACAUUUAUGCCAAAAGCUAGGAACACAUAUCAACUUUACUAUCAUUGGCAUUGCAACAUUUCGAUACAUGAAUUGUUCACCAAGUUUAAGUUCUUGCGUAUCUUAUCACUCUCUCAUUGUUCUGACCUUAAAGAGUUACCUGACUAUGUGAGCAAUCUUGAGCAUCUUCGUUCGAUAAACCUUUCCCAUACUGCUAUAGAAAAACUAUCCGAAAGGAUAUGUGUACUUCCCUACUUGCAAAUACUGAAGUUGAAUUAUUGUAGAGAUUUGGAGGAGUUACCCUCAAAUUUGCAUUUACUCACCAAUUUGUGUCGCCUUGAAAUUAAAGUGACGAAUGUGAGAAAGAUGCCACCGUAUUUGGGAAAACUGACGAAUCUUAAAGUAGUAAUGAGUUCCUUUAAUGUUGGCCAUGGCAUUCAACAGCUAGGAGAGCUCAACCUUGAGGGAAGUAUAUCAAUUGAGGAGCUGCAGAAUGUUGAGAAUUCCCUGGAUGCAUUAGAAGCAGAUUUGAAGAAUAAAACACACCUUGUGACGCUGAAGUUGCGAUGGGAUUGGGAUCGGGACUCUAUUGACUCAAAAAGCGAAGAGGAUGUAAUUGUGAAUCUGCAAC